AACGAACGCUGGCGGCAUGCCUAACACAUGCAAGUCGAACGAGACCUUCGGGUCUAGUGGCGCACGGGUGCGUAACGCGUGGGAACCUGCCCUUAGGUUCGGAAUAACUCCCCGACAGGGGUGCUGAUACCGGAUAAUGUCUUCGGACCAAAGAUUUAUCGCCUUUGGAUGGGCCCGCGUUGGAUUAGCUAGUUGGUAGGGUAAAAGCCUACCAAGGCGACGAUCCAUAGCUGGUCUGAGAGGAUGAUCAGCCACACUGGGACUGAGACACGGCCCAGACUCCUACGGGAGGCAGCAGUGGGGAAUAUUGGACAAUGGGCGAAAGCCUGAUCCAGCAAUGCCGCGUGAGUGAUGAAGGCCUUAGGGUUGUAAAGCUCUUUUACCCGGGAUGAUAAUGACAGUACCGGGAGAAUAAGCUCCGGCUAACUCCGUG
rnacentral:rRNA from 1 species